GCUAAAAUUAGGCCAAAUAUAUAUUCACAAUAAAUGGUCCAGCAUGCGUGAACUUGAGGACGAUAAAAGCCUACAACCCUCUUCUUCCAUUCCCCAUUAAUUCGUCUCUCUGAAUUAUCUCUUUUGCUUUCUCUUAAUUUCUUUCUCUCCCAUGGAAACCAUCCCAAAACCUAGCAAAGAAACCAAGGAAGACUCCAUUGAUGAUAUCGAGAAUGAACUCCUAUUGCCUGGCCUCCCCAACCACCUUGCCCAGAUCUGCCUUUCUUUUCUUUCUCCUGCCCUUCUUUUCUCCGUUUGCCACGCAUGGCGGCGACUCCUUUACUCUCACUCUUUCCCUCCCUUCUUUUCCCUUUACGUCCUCGUCUCUCCACCACCAAGUAGAAAAGUCGACCAAGUUGAUGCAAUCAAUUCGAUUGAGUUUUUGUCACUAGACCCCUUUUCUUCAAAAUGGCAAUCACUCCCUAGUCCUCUAAAAGACCCCCCACUUCACCUCCUCCAUCGACAUCCUUCUUUCUUGUCAAGAAACCUUCCAAUCCAAUCUCUAACAGUCUCAAAUCAUCUUGUACUUAUGGCUGGCACCACUUGCCGUUUUGUCCCUGCACUUUCUAUGCCAUUACUCUUCCACCCAGAAUCCAACUACUGGUUCUUUGGUCCUCCAUUUAGCAUCCCACGCCGCUGGUGCGCCACCGGCUCUGUUGGUGGCACAAUUUACUUAGCAAGCGGGGUUGCAUCGCACUACAGUGGAGAUGUGGCUAGGUCAAUGGAAAGAUGGGACACCAAACAAAAGAAAGAAAAUUGGAGAUGGGAAAAAAUGGCACCACUAAAAGAUGGUAGAUUCAGUAGGGAAGCGAUAGAGGCAGUAGGCUGUAAAGGGAAGCUUUACAUGGUUAACGUUAAAGGUAAUGCAGUAAAAGAUGGUUGCGUUUAUAAUGUUGACGCAAACUUGUGGGAGAAUAUGCCCAAGGGAAUGCUUGCGGGAUGGAAUGGACCGGCAGCGCCGAUGGAUGAAGAGGUGAUAUAUGUAGUGGAUGAGGUGAAGGGAGCUUUGAGUGAAUAUGAUAGUGAAAGGGAUUGUUGGAAGAAGGUGAUUGAGUUGCCUGAGCUUAAAAUGGCAGAGCAGAUAGCUGCUGGGAGAGGAAGAGUUUGCGUGGUUUGUGGCAAUGGAGAAAAAAUUGUGGUGGUGGAUGUGAUGGCUACACCAGCAAGAGUUUGGGUGGUUGAGCCGCCACCUGGACAGCAAGUAGUUUCUGUUCAUAUAUUGCCAAGAAUGAGCAAGCGUGCGUGACUACCCUUAAACAACUCAUGUGUGUGAUUAGCCGCUGUGUUUUGCGUAUGUUAUAAAUUUGUCUCUUUUUUCAAUUGAAAGCUUUUAAAUAAAAUGAGACUUUGGUUUGAAAU
rnacentral:misc_RNA from 1 species